GUAGGGUGCAAGCGUUAAUCGGAAUUACUGGGCGUAAAGCGUGCGCAGGCGGUUUUGUAAGUCUGACGUGAAAUCCCCGGGCUUAACCUGGGAAUUGCGUUGGAGACUGCAAGGCUGGAGUCUGGCAGAGGGGGGUAGAAUUCCACGUGUAGCAGUGAAAUGCGUAGAGAUGUGGAGGAACACCGAUGGCGAAGGCAGCCCCCUGGGUCAAGACUGACGCUCAUGCACGAAAGCGUGGGGAGCAAACAGGAUUAGAUACCCUGGUAGUCCACGCCCUAAACGAUGUCUACUAGUUGUCGGGUCUUAAUUGACUUGGUAACGCAGCUAACGCGUGAAGUAGACCGCCUGGGGAGU
rnacentral:rRNA from 1 species